GAUGAACGCUAGCUACAGGCUUAACACAUGCAAGUCGAGGGGAAACGAUAUUGGAAGCUUGCUUCCGAUAGGCGUCGACCGGCGCACGGGUGAGUAACGCGUAUCCAACCUGCCCACCACUUGGGGAUAACCUUGCGAAAGUAAGACUAAUACCCAAUGACGUCCAUAGAAGACAUCUGAAAUGGAUUAAAGAUUUAUCGGUGAUGGAUGGGGAUGCGUCUGAUUAGCUUGUUGGCGGGGUAACGGCCCAUCAAGGCGACGAUCAGUAGGGGUUCUGAGAGGAAGGUCCCCCACAUUGGGACUGAGACACGGUUCAAACUCCUACGGGAGGCAGCAGUGAGGAAUAUUGGUCAAUGGGCGAGAGCCUGAACCAGCCAAGUAGCGUGCAGGAUGACGGCCCUAUGGGUUGUAAACUGCUUUUAUAAGGGAAUAAAGUGAGCCUCGUGAGGCUUUUUGCAUGUACCUUAUGAAUAAGGACCGGCUAAUUCCGUGCCAGCCGCCGCGGUAA
rnacentral:rRNA from 1 species